rnacentral:rRNA from 1 species
GACGAACGCUGGCGGCGUGCUUAACACAUGCAAGUCGAACGGAAAGGCCCUGCUUUUGUGGGGUGCUCGAGUGGCGAACGGGUGAGUAACACGUGAGUAACCUGCCCUUGACUUUGGAAUAACUUCAGGAAACUGGGGCUAAUACCGGAUAGGAGCUCCUGCUGCAUGGUGGGGGUUGGAAAGUUUCGGCGGUUGGGGAUGGACUCGCGGCUUAUCAGCUUGUUGGUGGGGUAGUGGCUUACCAAGGCUUUGACGGGUAGCCGGCCUGAGAGGGUGACCGGCCACAUUGGGACUGAGAUACGGCCCAGACUCCUACGGGAGGCAGCAGUGGGGAAUAUUGCACAAUGGGCGGAAGCCUGAUGCAGCAACGCCGCGUGCGGGAUGACGGCCUUCGGGUUGUAAACCGCUUUCGCCUGUGACGAAGCGUGAGUGACGGUAAUGGGUAAAGAAGCACCGGCUAACUACGUGCCAGCAGCCGCGGUGAUACGUAGGGUGCGAGCGUUGUCCGGAUUUAUUGGGCGUAAAGGGCUCGUAGGUGGUUGAUCGCGUCGGAAGUGUAAUCUUGGGGCUUAACCCUGAGCGUGCUUUCGAUACGGGUUGACUUGAGGAAGGUAGGGGAGAAUGGAAUUCCUGGUGGAGCGGUGGAAUGCGCAGAUAUCAGGAGGAACACCAGUGGCGAAGGCGGUUCUCUGGGCCUUUCCUGACGCUGAGGAGCGAAAGCGUGGGGAGCGAACAGGCUUAGAUACCCUGGUAGUCCACGCUGUAAACGGUGGGUACUAGGUGUGGGGUCCAUUCCACGGGUUCCGUGCCGUAGCUAACGCUUUAAGUACCCCGCCUGGGGAGUACGGCCGCAAGGCUAAAACUCAAAGGAAUUGACGGGGCCCCGCACAAGCGGCGGAGCAUGCGGAUUAAUUCGAUGCAACGCGUAGAACCUUACCUGGGUUUGACAUGGAUCGGGAGUGCUCAGAGAUGGGUGUGCCUCUUUUGGGGUCGGUUCACAGGUGGUGCAUGGCUGUCGUCAGCUCGUGUCGUGAGAUGUUGGGUUAAGUCCCGCAACGAGCGCAACCCUUGUUCACUGUUGCCAGCACGUUAUGGUGGGGACUCAGUGGAGACCGCCGGGGUCAACUCGGAGGAAGGUGGGGAUGACGUCAAGUCAUCAUGCCCCUUAUGUCCAGGGCUUCACGCAUGCUACAAUGGCUGGUACAGAGAGUGGCGAGCCUGUGAGGGUGAGCGAAUCUCGGAAAGCCGGUCUCAGUUCGGAUUGGGGUCUGCAACUCGACCUCAUGAAGUCGGAGUCGCUAGUAAUCGCAGAUCAGCAACGCUGCGGUGAAUACGUUCCCGGGGCU